rnacentral:rRNA from 1 species
CCCUUAGAUGUUCUGGGCCGCACGCGUGCUACACUGAGUGGAUCAGCGGGUCGGGUUGCGCGAAAGUGUUUCCUAAUCUUUAAAUCCGCUCGUGAUGGGGAUUGACGGUUGCAAUUUUCCGUCAUGAACGAGGAAUACCUUGUAAGCGCGGGUCAUCAUCCCGCGCUGAAUACGUCCCUGCCCUUUGUACACACCGCCCGUCGCUCCUACCGAUUGAGUGGUCCGGUGAGGCUUUGGGAUCUGAGCGGAAAGAGCGUUUCGCUGUUUCUGCCCGGAAAACUCAGUCGAACCUCAUCAUUUAGAGGAAGGAGAAGUCGUAACA